rnacentral:lncRNA from 1 species
AAAAAUCCUUGGGGUGAAAAAGGGAUCAAAGGGAAUUGUGUGGGAUUGAGCUGCUCCUUCUGCCCCUUUGCAGAGCCUGCGGCGAGCGAGGAAGGCGCCGAUCCCGGCGGGAAGGACGAUGCCCAUGACCCCGAGCAGAGCUGCGUGCUGCUGCUGUCCAACCUGCCGCCCGGGGGCUCCUCUCCGGCCGAGCUCUGCAGCCUGGCCGAGCCCUUCGGGGGCCUGCGGGACCUGCUCGUCCCCUCCUCCCACAAACAGGUACGGCCCCGAAGCGCUCUGGGGCUCCUUGGGGGUUUUGGGGUUUGUUUGGGAUUUUUUAGGGAUUUUUGGGGAAUUUUGGGGAUAUUUUGAAGA